rnacentral:guide_RNA from 1 species
AUAAAAACGCAGAGAUUGGUUAUCACGGAUUGGUAGAUUAAUU